UACGUAGGGGGCUAGCGUUGUCCGGAAUCAUUGGGCGUAAAGCGCGUGUAGGCGGUCCGGUAAGUCCGCUGUGAAAGUCGGGGGCUCAACCCUCGGAUGCCGGUGGAUACUGUCGGGCUUGAGUACGGAAGAGGCGAGUGGAAUUCCUGGUGUAGCGGUGAAAUGCGCAGAUAUCAGGAGGAACACCAAUUGCGAAGGCAGCUCGCUGGAACGUUACUGACGCUGAGACGCGAAAGCGUGGGGAGCAAACAGGG
rnacentral:rRNA from 1 species